rnacentral:rRNA from 1 species
UACGUAGGGCGCAAGCGUUGUCCGGAAUUAUUGGGCGUAAAGGGCUCGUAGGCGGUUUGUCGCGUCGGGAGUGAAAACACGGGGCUUAACCCCGUGCCUGCUUCCGAUACGGGCAGACUAGAGGUAUGCAGGGGAGAACGGAAUUCCUGGUGUAGCGGUGAAAUGCGCAGAUAUCAGGAGGAACACCGGUGGCGAAGGCGGGUCUCUGGGCAGUAACUGACGCUGAGGAGCGAAAGCGUGGGGAGCGAACAGG